ACCACCACCACCACCACGACGUCCUCUUCUCUUUCUUCUCUCUCUCUCUCUCUCGAAAUGGGAAACCUUGACAAAGCAAUUGCAGCCAUAUCCCCCGUUGCUGUUGCUUCUCCUUUCUCUUAUUCUCCUUGUUCAUCUCCUUCCCCAUCUUCCCAGUCUUCUCCUGGUCUUGAUCCUUCUCUUUCUCAGUCUUCUCCAACUCCUGCUCCUCCUCCUUCUGUUGUUCUCAGCCCUUGUGCUGCAUGCAAAAUCC
rnacentral:misc_RNA from 1 species